UACGAAGGGGGGCUAGCGUUGCUCGGAAUCACUGGGCGUAAAGCGCACGUAGGCGGAUUGCUAAGUCAGGGGUGAAAUCCUGGAGCUCAACUCCAGAACUGCCUUUGAUACUGGCGACCUUUGAGUCCGGGAGAGGUGAGUGGAACUGCGAGUGUAGAGGUGAAAUUCGUAGAUAUUCGCAAGAACACCAGUGGCGAAGGCGGCUCACUGGCCCGGUACUGACGCUGAGGUGCGAAAGCGUGGGGGAGCAAAACAGG
rnacentral:rRNA from 1 species